GACGGUACAACGAGUCGCAAGACCGCGAGGUUUAGCAAAUCUCUUAAAGCCGUUCUCAGUUCGGAUUGUAGGCUGCAACUCGCCUACAUGAAGUCGGAAUCGCUAGUAAUCGCGGAUCAGCAUGCCGCGGUGAAUACGUUCCCGGGCCUUGUACACACCGCCCGUCACACCAUGAGAGUUUGUAACACCCAAAGCCGGUGGGGUAACCUUUAUGGAGGGAGCCGCCUAAGGCGGGACAGAUGACUGGGGUGAAGUCGUAACAAGGUACC
rnacentral:rRNA from 1 species